rnacentral:rRNA from 1 species
AACCCAAAGGACUUGACGGUGUCCCACCCAACUAGAGGAGCCUGUUCUAUAAUCGAUAACCCCCGCUUCACCCAACCCCCCCUUGCUUUAUCAGCCUGUAUACCUCCGUCGUAAACCCGCCGUAUGAAUGAUUCAAUGGUCCACCAACACGCCAGGUCAAGGUGCAGCCAAUGGAGGUGGUAAGUAAUGGGCUACAAUUUCUAAUCUAGAACAAACGAAGUACUGCAUGAAACACAGUCAUGAAGGAGGAUUUAGUAGUAAAAAGAAAGUAGCGUGUUCUUUUUAACACGGCCCUGGGCACGUGUACACACCGCCCGUCGCCCUCUUC